rnacentral:tRNA from 1 species
GGUGACUCAGUGGUAGAGUGCUUGCCUUGCAUGCAAGAGACCCUGGGUUCGAUUCCUCAGUACCA